rnacentral:rRNA from 1 species
CGCGCAGGCGGCUUGGUAAGUCAGAUGUGAAAGCCCACGGCUUAACCGUGGAAGUGCAUUUGAAACUGUCAAGCUUGAGUAUCAGAGGGGAAAGUGGAAUUCCUGGUGUAGAGGUGAAAUUCGUAGAUAUCAGGAGGAAUACCAGUGGCGAAGGCGACUUUCUGGCUGAAUACUGACGCUGAGGCGCGAAAGCGUGGGGAGCAAACA